rnacentral:rRNA from 1 species
UACGUAGGGUCCGAGCGUUGUCCGGAAUCACUGGGCUUAAAGGGCGCGUAGGCGGGCCGUCAAGUCGAGGGUGAAAUCCCCCAGCUCAACUGGGGAAGUGCCUCCGAUACUGGCGGCCUCGAGGGGGAUAGGGGCAUGCGGAACUUCCGGUGGAGCGGUGAAAUGCGUAGAUAUCGGAAGGAACACCGGUGGCGAAAGCGGCGUGCUGGAUCCCUUCUGACGCUGAGGCGCGAAAGCCAGGGGAGCGAACGGG